UUUUUAGUUUUGCAAAAGCCGUGGAAGGGCAGACCGCUUUCUAAUACACAGGUAGUACCUUCUAUAAUGAAUGGUGGAAUAACAGCUUUAUACUUCAUUUUAUGGGGAAAGGGUGUCAAAUCAUGUGGCCCUGUCAGGUGUACAGGCACCAGACGCGGCUGAGUAGC